rnacentral:misc_RNA from 1 species
GCCCAUCACAGUUCCACUUCAAGAGGAGUUUAAGCAGAGUGAAGAGUGCAUUGUUUAUCCGCUAAAAGUAGGGACAUCACAACCAGAGGAACCUGCUGAGAUAUUCCACAACAUAGCGCCUCCCGAAUGAUGUCUUAUGUUGGUGGCUUCUGUAAAGUCAAAUGAUGAGCCUUCAGAAGCACCAAACUCUACAUUGCUGAACAAAAAGUUGGCAACAGUUCUGUCAAUGACAUUUGUCCGCG